rnacentral:rRNA from 1 species
UACGGGGGGGACGAGCGUUGUUCGGAAUUACUGGGCGUAAAGGGUUUGUAGGUGGCCUGCUAAGUCAGACGUGAAAUCCCUCAGCUUAACUGGGGAACUGCGUCUGAUACUGGCGGGCUUGAGGACAGGAGAGGAACGCGGAAUUCCAGGUGUAGCAGUGAAAUGCGUAGAGAUGUGGAGGAACACCGAUGGCGAAGGCAGCCUCCUGGGCCAGCACUGACGCUCAUGCACGAAAGCGUGGGGAGCAAACAGG